rnacentral:rRNA from 1 species
GACGAACGCUGGCGGCGUGCUUAGCACAUGCAAGUCGAACGGAAAGGCCCUGCUUUUGUGGGGUGCUCGAGUGGCGAACGGGUGAGUAACACGUGAGUAACCUGCCCUUGACUUUGGGAUAACUUCAGGAAACUGGGGCUAAUACAGGAUAGGAGCUCCUGCUGCAUGGUGGGGGUUGGAAAGUUUCGGCGGUUGGGGAUGGACUCGCGGCUUAUCAGCUUGUUGGUGGGGUAGUGGCUUACCAAGGCUUUGACGGGUAGCCGGCCUGGGAGGGUGACCGGCGACAUUGGGACUGAGAUACGGCCCAGAAUCCUACGGGAGGCAGCAGUGGGGAAUAUUGCACAAUGGGCGGAAGCCUGAUGCAGCAACGCCGCGUGCGGGAUGACGGCCUUCGGGUUGUAAACCGCUUUCGCCUGUGACGAAGCGUGAGUGACGGUAAUGGGUAAAGAAGCACCGGCUAACUACGUG